rnacentral:rRNA from 1 species
UACAGAGGGUGCAAGCGUUAAUCGGAAUUACUGGGCGUAAAGCGCGCGUAGGCGGCUGCCUAAGUCGGAUGUGAAAGCCCCGGGCUCAACCUGGGAACUGCAUUCGAUACUGGGCGGCUAGAGUAUGAGAGAGGGAGGUAGAAUUCCACGUGUAGCGGUGAAAUGCGUAGAUAUGUGGAGGAAUACCGGUGGCGAAGGCGGCCUCCUGGUUCAAUACUGACGCUGAGGUGCGAAAGCGUGGGGAGCAAAC